rnacentral:rRNA from 1 species
CCUACGGGAGGCAGCAGUGGGGAAUAUUGGGCAAUGGAGGCAACUCUGACCCCGCAACGCCGCGUGAAUGAUGAAGGUCUUCGGAUUGUAAAGUUCUGUGAUGGGGGAUGAAAACAAUGACGGUACCCCAAUAGCAAGCCACGGCUAACUACGUGCCAGCAGCCGCGGUAAUACGUAGGUGGCAAGCGUUAUCCGGAAUGACUGGGCGUAAGGGGUGCGUAGGUGGUUUAGUAAGUUGGCGGUGUAAUGCCGGGGCUCAACCUCGGCGCUACCGCCAAAACUAUUAGACUAGAGUGCAGGAGGGGUAAGUGGAAUUCCUAGUGUAGCGGUGGAAUGCGUAGAGAUUAGGAAGAACAUCAGGGGCGAAGGCGACUUACUGGACUGUAACUGACACUGAGGCACGAAAGCGUGGGGAGCAAACAGGAUUAGAUACCCGGGUAGUC